rnacentral:rRNA from 1 species
UACGGAGGGUGCGAGGCGUUGUCCGGAAUUAUUGGGCGUAAAGGGCUCGUAGGCGGUUUGUCACGUCGGGAGUGAAAAACUCGGGGCUUAAGCCCCGAACGCCUGCUUUCCGAAUACGGGCAGACUAGAGGUAUGCAGGGGAGAACGGAAUUCCUGGUGUAGCGGUAGAAAUGCGCAGAUAUCGAGAGGAACACCGGUGGCGAAGGCAGCUCCACUAAGCCAUAACUGACGCUGAUGCACGAAAGCGUGGGGAGCAAACAGG